UACGUAGGCAGCAAGCGUUGUUCGGAGUUACUGGGCGUAAAGGGUGUGUAGGCGGUUGGGUAAGUGUGGUGUGAAAUCUCCCGGCUCAACUGGGAGGGUGCGCUACAAACUGUCUGACUAGAGUGUGGGAUGGGUAAGUGGAAUUCCUGGUGUAGCGGUGAAAUGCGCAGAUAUCAGGAGGAACACCGGUGGCGAAGGCGGGUCUCUGGGCCGGCAUUGACGCUGAGUGAGCGAAAGCCAGGGGAGCAAACGGG
rnacentral:rRNA from 1 species